AUUGAACGCUGGCGGCAGGCCUAACACAUGCAAGUCGAGCGGAGCGGCGGACGGGUGAGUAAUGCUUAGGAAUCUGCCUAUUAGUGGGGGACAACAUCUCGAAAGGGAUGCUAAUACCGCAUACUAUUAGAUGAGCCUAAGUCGGAUUAGCUAGUUGGUGGGGUAAAGGCCUACCAAGGCGACGAUCUGUAGCGGGUCUGAGAGGAUGAUCCGGCACAAUGGGAAUGGGACACGGGCCAGACCCCUACGGGAGGGAGCAGGGGGGGAUAAUGGACAAUGGGGGGAACGCUGAUCCAGGCAUGGCGGGGGGGGGAAGAAGGGCUUAUGGUUGUAAAGGACUUUAAGCGAGGAGGCGUUACUCGCAGAAUAAGCACCGGCUAACUCCGUGCCAGCAGCCGCGGUAAUAC
rnacentral:rRNA from 1 species